rnacentral:rRNA from 1 species
ACAGCAGUAGCCGCGGGAACACGUAGGUGGCAAGCGUUGUCCGGAAUUAUUGGGCGUAAAGGGCUCGCAGGCGGUUUCUUAAGUCUGAUGUAAAAGCCCCCGGCUCAACCGGGGAGGGUCAUUGGAAACUGGGAAACUUGAGUGCAGAAGAGGAGAGUGGAAUUCCACGUGUAGCGGUGAAAUGCGUAGAGAUGUGGAGGAACACCAGUGGCGAAGGCGACUCUCUGGUCUGUAACUGACGCUGAGGAGCGAAAGCGUGGGGAGCGAACAGGAUUAGAUACCCCGGUAGUCCCUGUCUCUUAUAC